UAGAGUGACUUGGGAGUGCUGGUCCAGGAGGCGGGUCUCGGCAUAGUUCGCUUGCUCAAAUAGAACCAUCUCGAGGAGAUCAAUCAAUCUGCGGGAACAAAAUGGAAGUCGAGGUCUGAGCAGAGUUGUCACUUCCCCGACUUGAGUGGAGCGGGCUGGGGGCGGAGACUCCGGACGGAGGAGAGGCCCUUUCUCCCACCUCAGCUCCUUUCCCUGGGUUUCCAGAAGGAAGGAUUACCUUCCUCACCCCCCUACUUCCCCACACCCAUCCCCGCUCGCCCGCCGGCCCUUUUCCGCACCUCCUUUUCCCUUCAAGUGAGAAAAACUUAGUUCCCGAGCCAGUGGAGUGGGUCCCCUCGCCCCUCCCGCGCCCACGCCGGUCCCCCUCCGGCCAUCGCUACUGCCACCACCUCGGUUCCACUCAAUCGAUUUUUGCUGCAUGUCAACACUUAUUACCGCUCUUUAAAAUUUCAUGGGGCUAUGGCCAAGGACCUGAGCAAAUGCGAGAAAGUCUUUCGAUUGUAUUCCAAUGUGCUUUCCCUGCCAGCAGCCAGCACCUGGGUUUCUCCGUCAGAAGACUGCCCUCUGGCUGCCUGAGCCAGCAAAGCCAGCAGUUUCUGGGAAUUUACAUUCUUGGAUGCAGCCCUUAGCCAGUGAUGGAUGGGCGUGAGAAUCUUCCUUGCCCCAUCGUCAGGACCACUCGGAAGCGCGUCUUCAGAGGCUCCCUUCAAGGUAGUUGCCCUCUACAGGACCUGCUUGGUAUUGCACCUUUGCUGGCCACCUUAUCCCACCUCCCACUCCCCCACCCUCUUUCCUAGAAACACUUUCCAAUGAGUCAUUUUCACUUGAAUGCUCACCUCAGGGUCUGCCUUUAGGGAAGCCAAUCUAAGAGCAUCCCUUGUAGCUUCUCAACAGACACAUAAAGAAGCAUUGUUUAAAAGUCACAUGCCAUCUACACAUCUCGCUCUUUCACUGCUCUGCUAUUUGGUGCUGCCACAUAGACCGGCGUCUCAUCCCUCCUCACCUUUUCCCAGUGCCAACCUGACUGAGACAACAGAGCACACAGUGGCCCCUCUAAAACACGGGCUCUGGGACUGCGCUGCGCCUAAAGUGGGCAUAGGUUAUACUGCUAAGGUCAGGUAAAGAAAUAUUGCUCGGAGGUCGGUAAGAGUAUCAUAAAACAAAAAGGAUUGAGGCUAUAUAAUUUUAUAGUUUUAGAAUCACUUACAGCAUCUAAUCUAAUCUGAGUAAAGUAAUAGAUUUGAGAGUACAAAAUGUCAAGAAAUGGAAAUUACAUAAAUGAAAUGAUAGAGUUUCCUAUAUGUUAUUUAAAAUUCAGGAGUAUCAGAUUUCACUUUUUAAAGGUAUAAUUCACUUUUUUUAUUUCUAAGCAUAGAUAGGGCUAACCAUAUAACAGGCUCUGGCAGUUUCAAAUAUUGCCAAUCUAAUUUUCACUAAGGAAAAUGAUUUUGAUUCUCCCAAGAUAACACACCUACUUCCAUCCUUCCACCUGUUUACAUUGAGUGGACUGUCAGACGUGAGCUCCCAGCAGAGAAGCCCCUGAUGGAGACGUGAGACUCGCCCACUUCUAGGAGAUGGUUGAGGCCGUAGCAUUAACUUGCUCAUGUAUGGGCCGUUUGGAUUAUCAGAAGUCUCUGGUCAGUAAGACUUCCCUAAUCUUGGACUAUUUAAAUAGUGAGAAAAGGGAGGAGGCCAUUCAGUUUAUAGUACAGAUUAACCGACCACAGUGUCUACCAGACAGGAAUACAUCUGAGGAGAGAGCAGGUGAACACUAGGGCUGGAGAAAGGAGUAAUUCCUCUCUGGGGACAUGAAAGCAUGUAUUAUGAUCCAAUUUUUUAAGCAAGUGAAAAAUAAGGAAAGAUCACUUUUGAUGUAAUGUCUUUUUCUCUCUUAUUUGUUCAGGAGCUGCUACAGAUUUUAAACAAUGUUCUCAACAGCAAAGCACAUAUUUUCUAGGUUUUAUUUCCCUAUGCAUAUAUAACUUUUUUUUUUUUUACAAAAAUGGAAGAAGUAGGUUGAGUUUGUGAUAAAUGGCCACUAAAAAUCAUGCAUCUGUGAAUCUAAAUAAAAUAAAAACAGUAUCUGAAGGUAGAAUCUAAAGAAAAUAUUAGAGAAAAGUGUAAAUGUUAAUAUAGUUCCAUGUUCUAAACCUUAAUGAAUACAAUUUGAAGAUUUACCAUAACUUAAGAAGUGAUUUUAGACCCGACUGUAUAUUUAGUGCACUUGGUUAUAACAUUUUUUGUUUGUGUGGAGAGGAAUCCAUAACCAAGGAGAAAUUUAAAAAAAUCCAACCCCACCGGUUUAAAUAUAGUGUUGGCUGUCUUUUUUUGUUUGUUUGCUUUUCGUUUUUUGUUU